CAUUCCAGCAUUAGUUCUAAAAUCUAAAAUCUAAACUCAUUCCAGCAUUAGUUCUAAAAUCUCAUCUAAAUAUCUUCCUAGUCAGAUAUGGGUGGAAUCGAACUGUGAUUCAUCCUGAGGCAAAAUUCCACUCCAUCAUUGAACCUAUGAAACCCAAUAAAUUGUGUGCCUCUAAAUACACAUAGCAGAACAGGCAUAGGACAUUUCCAUUACAAAAGGAAGAAAUCAGAAGGAAAAAGGACAACAAGACAUAAGCAAGUUCAAAACCUAUCAAGAAAAGACUGAAUGGUAUGUUGGUUGACUUCAAAAUAUUGCAGGUUGGAAUGCUGUUUGCAACUGAGCAGCCCAGGCAGAACUGGAUGUAAUGGGUGAUGAAAGCUCACACUGAGCCAAAGACAGAGUCCUUGAUCUGCCUUGAUCUGUGGAAAAAAGUCAUCUGCUUUUGUGGAUUCUUAGAGAAAAAAGGAAAUUGUAACUGAGGAGUGCUGAGAAAGGAGAGACAGGACCACCAAAAUAAAACAAUUUAUCAUUCAUCAUGAGAGCAUGCUCCUCAAAGUGUUAUACCUAUACUAUCUUUAUGAGAAGUAACUGGACAUGCUUUUGAAAAAAUACAGAUUUUAGGACCUUUACUUUCAGGAUUUAGAUUUCAGGACCCUUUACCAAACUCCAGAAUCUCCAGGAUUAGGGUCUGGACUAAACAUUUUCUAACUAGCCCUCCAACUGACUUUCAUGCACGUGAGAACUUUACUCA